rnacentral:rRNA from 1 species
AGAGUUUGAUCCUGGCUCAGAACGAACGCUGGCGGCAGGCCUAACACAUGCAAGUCGAGCGCUCUCUUCGGAGGGAGCGGCGGACGGGUGAGUAACGCGUGGGAACGUGCCCUUUCUCUAUGGAAUAGCCACUGGAAACGGUGAGUAAUACCAUAUACGCCCUUCGGGGGAAAGAUUUAUCGGAGAAGGAUCGGCCCGCGUUAGAUUAGGUAGUUGGUGGGGUAAUGGCCUACCAAGCCUACGAUCUAUAGCUGGUUUUAGAGGAUGAUCAGCCACACUGGGACUGAGACACGGCCCAGACUCCUACGGGAGGCAGCAGUGGGGAAUCUUAGACAAUGGGCGCAAGCCUGAUCUAGCCAUGCCGCGUGAGUGAUGAAGGCCUUAGGGUCGUAAAGCUCUUUCGCCAGAGAUGAUAAUGACAGUAUCUGGUAAAGAAACCCCGGCUAACUCCGUGCCAGCAGCCGCGGUAAUACGGAGGGGGUUAGCGUUGUUCGGAAUUACUGGGCGUAAAGCGCACGUAGGCGGAUUAGAAAGUUGGGGGUGAAAUCCCGGGGCUCAACCUCGGAACUGCCUCCAAAACUCCUAGUCUAGAGUUCGAGAGAGGUGAGUGGAAUUCCAAGUGUAGAGGUGAAAUUCGUAGAUAUUUGGAGGAACACCAGUGGCGAAGGCGGCUCACUGGCUCGAUACUGACGCUGAGGUGCGAAAGUGUGGGGAGCAAACAGGAUUAGAUACCCUGGUAGUCCACACCGUAAACGAUGAAUGCCAGUCGUCGGGUAGUAUACUGCUCGGUGACACACCUAACGGAUUAAGCAUUCCGCCUGGGGAGUACGGUCGCAAGAUUAAAACUCAAAGGAAUUGACGG